rnacentral:lncRNA from 1 species
UUUUUUUUUUUUGUGACAGUCCGUUUCCGAUUUAUGCACGGCUUGCUUACAUACAAUGCUGUUUUCAGGUCAAUCCAUUUGCUUUGAUUAGUUUCAUCCCAAGGUGGCUAAAUGAUUUGCAUUGCUGCAGAGGGGUAAAAAACCAGACAAAGAAGCAAACACUUUGUAUUUAGGACUUAGUACCACUAACGAUGUGUUAGAGUCGGAAGGUUGAAUCAUAGCGGGCCUGAACUUCUGACUGCAGAAAUUCAGUUGGCCUGAUACAGCUAAUUUUUGACAGGAGUUCAAUUGGAUUACGAAGAAAAAUAGCUCUAGUUGUAUGCAUAGAAGGUAUGUGAGUAUUACCAUUUUAGUGCAAACAAGACACUUUAUAAUUCCAUCCAAAUUUGUCAAAGGAUGCCUACUCCCUUUAAUACUUCAUGUAGUCCUCUAGCAGUGGACAUCAGUGUACCACAGUCACCAGCUCCAAGUAGAACGCUGAUGGUGUGGAUUUCUGUUGACGCGUAGACAAUGUGACUCAUCAAUUGAUGUAUAUAUUGUCAAAUUGGUGGUUUGGUACACUGAUGGUUGGAUUAUCUGUAUUCUUGUUCAUCAGUAUAGCACCCUGAGAGCAUCUCCAACAGUUUGCUAAAACACUUGCUAUCUCAUAAAUUUUGGUAAAUCAAUGAUAAAAACUCUCUCCAACAGUUUGCUAAACAUGUUUGUCAAAAACCUGGACUUGCUAUCCUACUCAUCCGCGCGCGCACUUCUACACGCGCGGACUCGCCGCGUAUCUCAUCCGCGCGCCGUUCGUUGCUGCGAGCUGCUGCCGUGCUUGCUGCUGCCCUGCUGCUGCUGGCGUGCUGCUGCUGCCUGCUGCUGAGCUGCUGGCGUGCUGCUGCCCUACUGAGCUGUGUGCUGCUGCUGAUGCCCUGCUGAGCUGCAUGCUGCUGCUGCCUGCUGCUGCCCUGCUGAGCUGCGUGCUGCUGCUGCCGUGCUGCUGCUGCUGAGCUGCUGGCGUGCUGCUGUCUUCUUUAGUUUUCCAAAAAUUUUCAAGAUUUUCCAUCAUAUCGAAUUUUACGUCUCAUGUAUGAUGCAUUAAAUAUACAUGAAAAUAAAAACUAAUUGCACAGUUUAUAUGUAAAUCGCGAGACGAAUCUUUUAAGUCCAGUUACUCUAUAGUUACUCUAUAAUUGGACAAUGUUUGUCAAAUAAAAACGAAAGUGCUACAGUGUCAAAAUCCAAAAAAAUUUGCGAACUGAACAAAGUGAAAGAGUGUCCAAAGUGUUCGAAAGCUAAAUAAAAUCUGCUGCCGCACGGAGGCGACGUCUUGACGUCAGGCACGGGCCACAGAUAGAUGGGUGUUGGUAGUUGGGGUGUGGGCCUUCUUUUCUUUUAAUUUGGCAAGUCUAAAUGACAAACUAUUGGAGAUGGUCAUUUUUUUCACUUGCCAAAUCUUUUACCAAGUUGCCAAAACUCAAAAUAUGGCAAAUAAAUUUUAGCAAACUGUUGGAGAUGCUCUGACCGGUAUUACAAUAAUACUACUCACUUCUAUGGUUGUGGAUAGCUAUAUAAUUGUUUAUUCUUCAGAUGCUGUGGAUACUAGAUUGCAAGGCAUUCAGAAGUUCUUUCCUAUUUAAGAGCUAUAAAGCAUAACCAUGGCAAUCACCUGAAUAUAAAACCUGAUCUUCAACACAAGGAAGAGCUAAAGUGAAAAUAGCAGCUAAUAACAGAAAAUGACGACACAGAUGUGUUAGUUGAUCUCCUUUCCAGAUGGGUCCAAAGGCCUUCUGGGCCUUGUUCUCGUGCCCUGAUCGGGGGCGCCUAACCCUACAUGGUUGGUGGGCCCCCGUCGCACAGCGCUAUAAAGGAAGGUGGGGGGCUGGAGCUCGAGGUACGAGGUUGACCGCGAAGCCUUUUUUCCCACCGACAUCCUAAACCCUAAUCUGAUCCGAGAGGGGCGCUGCCAGCGACGGGAAGCACCACCGACGCCGACAACGCCACCCCAACGUCCGCGCCGCCACAAGGAACGUCUCCAACGGCAGAUCCGAUGGCUUCACCGGCGAACGACGCCACCGCGAACGGCAGCGGAUCUACGGCGGCUCUGGCUCCAAGCGAUGGUCUAGUAUAUUUACCGUUUCUGUUUUAUAUCUACCGUUUCAUAUAUACAGUAGAUCUUGUUUAGGGCAUAUGAUGUACAUUUUUAUUCUUGAUUAAAUUGGAAGAAAUAUUCCUGAUCUAUGAACCGCGAUGCAUUACGAAUUUUAACAAUGGUAUCGGAGCCUGGUUGCGAAAUAGAUCUAAAUCGGGAAGAAAAGAAACGAAAGAAAACUCGAUCUGAAUCGAAGAAAACGAAUCAAGAACGAAACCCUAACCCAAAAAGAAGAAACAAAGAAUCCAACUCGCGUACCGGCCGGACACCAUCACGGGACCGCUGGACGGCGGCGCGCCCAACCCUCGGGUGGACGCGCGCACCGGCCAGGGGUCCGGCGGCGACGCCGCCUCCCUGCGCUGUCGCGGCUGUGUGAAGAAAGAAACCGCAAAAAAAGGCAUGGAGUGUCGCGGCUGUGUGAAGAAAGAAACCACAAAAAAAGGCAUGGAGCCGCAGGCAGCAGUUGCUGUCUUUUGGCCACCAAGAGCUGGGAGGCUCCACCGAGGUCAGUGGGCUCCUGGAUAGCCGCUGGCUGGCUGCUGAGAAAAGAAAGAGGAGAGAAAGAAAUGAGGGUUAGGGUUUUGGGGCUGGUUGUUCAAGGGCUUUUAUACCCGCGAGAUUCACUCACAGCCGUUGGAUCUUCAUGAAUGGACCAGAUCGUUUGAUCAGGUUUCAGGCCGACUUUUCGCCCAAGAGGGCGACCGCAGCAGGCCGAAUUCCAGACCCAGGCCCAGGUUGCGGCCUGCGCGCGGGAAGCGGCUCAGCCUUGGGCCGAUUUCCACUACUGGGCUGGUUUUUGGUUGGACCGCAAUGAAACAACAACAAAAAAAAAGAGGACAGGUCGCGGGGAGCGCCUGGCGCUCGGCCUCCGGCUGUCUGCUGGGCGGCCGUCUCCGUCUGAUGGGCGGUGGUUUGUUUUUAUUUUUUUUACCGGCCCAAAGAAAGAAAUGAAACACAGCCGAUGCUCUGGCCGAAUGAAAUUGAAAAACCAGAAUUCAGACCUGAUUUUGACGAAUUUUGGUAGAAUUUGAAUUUUGUCUCUACUCAAAUUUGAACUAACUAGAUAAUUUGUUUAGAGAAUAAAGAAAAGUGUUUCUGAAAAGGAAAUAGAAUUUAUUUUAUGAAUUUUUCUGCUGCGUACUUCAUGAUAUUUUUCAUUAUUAAAUUCGAACCAACGGGAGAAUUUAAUUUUGAUAAAUUUUGAUGAUAUUGUAAUAUUGUUAUUUUCUGACCAAAGUUGAUAAUAGCAAUAUUACAGAAUUAUGCAUUAAUAUUAUUUUUGCCCAACGGUGAUGUAAAAUUAUUACAUUAAUGAAUAUAUGUACAUUUUAAUUCAAAUAAUAUUUUCUCACCCAUUGUGAUGUAAUUUUAGGAGUCAAAAGCAAUGUGAACAUAGCGAACAUCCCGCUCCUCAAUGGCACCAACCAUCAUGUGUGGCGGGAGAAAUAUGAAUUGGAGCUUGCGUUGAAUGAGAUUGACUACGCCAUUACCUCACUGUGUCCCAUUGUUCUAGAGGAACCGGUGAGGCAUGAAAAUGAAUCUGAUGCUGAUUUCGCUGCUCGAAAGCGUGAUCAUGCAGAUAUACGAAUGAAAUAUGGUAUUGAUCAUAGGCGUUGGGUUCAGUCCAACCGCAAGUGUCUACUGGCGGCAAGAGCCACUAUAGAAGAAUCAAUAAGGGGUUCGAUCCCUGAAUGUGUGACCGCCAAAGAAUACCUUGAACAUGUGAAGAAUCAGUUUACUGGAUCUACCAAGGCCAAAGCUAGUUCGCUGAUCAAGCAACUAGUCACUGAAAAAUACACUGGCGGUGGCAUAAGAGAGCACAUCCUGAAAAUGAAUGCCACGACAUCUAAGCUAAGGAAAUGAACUUGAAGGAAGAUGAAUUCCUAAUUCAUUUGAUUUUUGCUUCUCUGCCAAAAGAAUAUGAGGCAUUUGUUGUGAACUACAACAUUCAGCCCUGAAAAGUGGAAUUUAGAAACGCUCAUGGCUAUGUGCACUUAGGAGGAGGAAAGAUUGAAGUCCUCACAAGGUGACUCUGCUCACUUUGUGAGAGACAACAAAAGAAAGGACUUCAAUGGCAAGAAACCACAAGAGAAACCUCAGUGGAAUCAGUCUUCCCCCUUGAAGGACCGAAAAAGGCGACCAGAGGGGGGUGAAUGGGAGCCUCAAAUUUUUCUCAAAAUAUUUUCGGCCGCUAUCCCAAAAUUACCGCCAAACGCAAACACGAUCCAAAACUAAAAUACUCAAGCCAACUAUAGUGACGAGAGUAUCUAGAAAAAUUCUUUGGAAUGGUAGGAAGCUAAAGCAACAAACGAAACAUGAAUCGGAGCUCAAACGACCAAAUUAUGAGGGAAAAAAGAAAUCAUGGCUGGGAAAGAUUUGACAGAAAAUCCCCAAAAAGAAAAGGAUCAUCACAUAACAGAGAAAUAGCACAGAGACCUAGUGCUCUGGAAGCAGUACGACUGCACAGCUAGGUGCUCAUAACAGUGAAGCUUAGAAAAUAGACACAAAAAGAUGAGCAGCUGCACUUGCUUAGCCAGGAACUGCACUGGACUAAGUCUGCUGGCACCAUUCACAUGGAACAAAUAAAAUUCACAACAGAAACCAACAAACCUCCAAUCUCUUGCUGCCUGUGCUCAACGUGAAAUUAAGUGAGUAAGCAAUAAUUACUUCCUGUAGCUGAAAGUGACAAAACAGGAGAUGGAAAACCAAUUCAGGAACAAGCUAAGCAAUUGCUGCUGCUGCUCUUUGUGCUCUGCGGGCACAAACUCCUGCUGCUAGGCCUGCUGAAACUAACGCACUGCUAGCUCUGAAGACAAUCGAUGCAGCUUCAACUGAUUGGAGGCAGGCAACAAAUCGACGAACACAAAGAUAGAAAUCAAGCAAGCAAGAACUGAAUAUAGCUCACGAACGAGAAACAGAGGCGUGAGUCUGCUCACACCUGCAGAGAAGGGGAAUAAUCGUGAUCCAAAAACAUACAGGGAAACUGUUGCCAGUGGGAGAUCGGCAGGGACUGCGCACGCCGUUCACCUGAACCUAUCGAUGGUGACCGGUAUCAAGACUGGUGGCCUCCCAGGAGGCUUGAUGCACCACGCACAGCUUAGGCAAGCAGCACCCCAGCAGAUGAUGACGAACAAGCAGAAAUGUUGCUAGACAAAAACAGUGACAAGAGAAGGACAAGCCUGGACAAAAAUUGUGACCUGAAAGAUGCUGCUGGUCUGCACGCAGCACACACUCAAGCACCAGCCAAUGAAUUCCUACAGGAGCGACACAAGAACGGGAACUGCAGUUCACGAACAGAGAAAAGAAAACGCCCACAAAAAUGAAAAGAUCUCUCUGAGAAAAAGAGCUCUUGAGCUCAGAUUUUGCACAGAUACAAUUCAACAUAGCACGAACCUAUUCCCCAAAAAUCAUGGCUUGGGAUGAUCCUAAACUCCAGGAAAUCAAGAUCAAACACAUGAACGAGAAAGGGGCAAAAACACAAGAUGACAGUGAACGAAAAAUCACAGAGAUAAAAUUGAAAUCCCGGAGGACAAGUGGAGGAUUUGGGCCUCCAUUCCCACUUCAAAUCAUAGCAAAUACAUCACCGAUUUUUCAGUUCAUAAAAUCUCUAGAAAUAAGAAAACCUAACCCUAGAGAGAAAGCUACGGGAGGGAGCAAAGAAAGAGUGAGAGGGUACCGAGAGAGAGGUGGAGAGAGCGUUAGGGAGAUGGGGAACUCCCCCGGUUUAUUUAUCAGGCAUAUUACAUAUUCCUCAGAUGUCUAUAGAUAUUUUUAAGCGAACUAGCUAGCCCUAGGGACAUUCUAGUCCACCUCGAUAUGACCUAAAUCCGACGGCCACCGCGCUUCCUCACCGGUAGCCUCGCUCUGAAGCGAUCUCACCGAUGCCGCCACGUGCCAUCCGUCCGCAUCGGGACCUCCGCCCGGGUUUUGAGGCCCAAACCCGUGAAACCCGCUGCGAGUAGCAUACUCCAUACGCUUCCCCGCCACUCGACACGUGUCACCGCCGUCCUCGACUGGCCGGCCCGCUAAGUCCUCCUGAGCCUCGCUCGACUCGCGUCCGCCGUCUUGACUUGGUCAACACGGUCACUCCCAUGUACACUUGCACUUGUCGAUGUCCCAGAUGUCAGCCACUACGGCUGGUCACCCGGCCUCCUGGUCCGUCAGUCCAAGCCUCACGUCCGUCCUUCACCGCUCCAGAUCCAUCAGCACGACAUGUCUCUACUUGACCUUCACCUCACCGUCGACCACCGCCUCCGAGCUCCACAGCUGAACACCACAAGCCAAGAGACAUGUCGCACACAUAGCUUUCGCCAUGGUAAUGUUAGUCACCAACUCAACCUAUUCGUGGGUCACGUUGACAAUCACUCAUCACAAAACGUACCACAAGGGUACUUCUCGACCUUGUGUUCGCAAUCUCCCCCUUGAUGAGUGCAUUGUCAACAUCCUCACACGAACAACUUGAGCAAAAGAAAAGAAAAAGAAGGGAAAAGCAAAGAGUUCACUGAAAUGACCAAAAGCCAAAGAGAAGCCAGAAAUGGGUCAUUUCAAAUGGUCAAAACUUGAUCCCCAAAGACAUGGGCAAAGGCUCGACACAACCAAGUAAACACACAGCUAGCCCUCAAGAAGAGGCAAACGGGCUCAACACCGCUAGCAAAGCUCGAAAAGUCAGAAAACAACUAGACCCUCCAGAAGAGGCAAAGGCUCAACACAUCUAGCAAAAGCAACUCUCCCUGAGCAAAUGCAAUCUCUCUCAAAUGAAUGCAUGUCUCUCUUUUUGUGUGAAACUUUCUCCCCCUUGUUGACACAUGCACUUAUCAAGAUUUGCCCAAGGAGUGCAACUCCCCCUCAAAACAUGCUAUGAAUGCAAAAAAUGCACAUAUAUAAAAGCUUCAGGAGUAUAGCAAUCAGAUUGAAAAGAUGCUCUAAGUGGUGCUGUCAUGUGUGUAUAGCAAUAAGUACAAGUGCUAGCAAAUGCUCAAACUGAUCAAGUGAAACGAAAUAUGACAUUUAAGCAUUUUUUAUCAAUUUUAAGCAAUUAUAAAAAGAAGUUCACCACUGAAAGUAGCACAUAGCAGGUAUAAGCAGGAAAUCAACCUAGUGCUAACAAGUGUAUACAAGGUGAACUACCCCAAACAGCGUUCAUACAUCAUGUCAAAGACUAACCUUAGACUUGUGUUUUCAUCAAAUUUCCAUUUUAUUGGAGUUUGCAGCAUAUCACAAGGUUUAGUCAAAAAACAUGUGUGAGUGCAAGAGGUUAUUGUACCAUCAAACCAACUUAUCGACCAUGCCAAGCCUAUGUCAAAAGACAAUCGCAAGCUUAAGACAAUGAUCUCGGCAUCCACUACAAGGCUCAAGUUCAUCCAUAAGUGCAAUUGGAAGCAGUCUCGAUACCUUGACGUAGGACAGUACAGACCCAUCUUGAUCUUUUCUUUUCACUUAGCUUGAUUUUCAAUUUUUAGCACAAGAAUUUACAAGUUGUCCAAGCAAGUGUAUAACUCAAAGCAUGAGACAUAGCAACCUAGCAUAUAAAUGAUAGCUAAAGUGAUCUCAACACAUCCUACACAUGCUAGUUGCCAAUCACAAUGCUGAACAAUUUUCAGGUUUCAACAAGUUUAUGUCAAGUUCACAAGUUAUAAAACAUGCUUAGCUCAUAGCAUGCAUCAAGUGAUCAAAAAGAGCCUAAGCGACAAGUACCAACAUGUACAUACAAGACAUAUCACAAAGAGCAUAAUCUUAAUCUAACAACUAUAAUCAUGAAGCUCAAAAUGCUCUAAUAUACAUGAUGAGAUGAAAUGCAAUGCAAUAUGAUACAAAAAUAAAAUACAAUAAAAGCUAAAAAAACUUGAAUACAAAAAAAAAAUUCCCCUCAACUAAAAAGGGAAACAAACUCCAAGCUCCCCUCGCAAGCGAGCAAACUGGGCUUGGUCAAGGGGUUUGGUAAAGAUGUCUGCAAGCUGAUUUUGGGUAUCAACAUGGUGUAGAUCAAUAUCUCCUUUCUCAUAGUGGUCACGCAGGAAGUGAAAGCGAACAUCUAUAUGCUUGGUUUUUGAGUGGAGGACUGGGUUUUUAGCAACGCUUAUGGCACUGGUGCUAUCACAAAGCAUAGGCACUCGCCUAAACUCUAACCCAAAGUCUCUCAAUGUGGCUAUCAUCCAAAGCAACUGGGAGCAGCAAGCAGCAGCAACAACAUACUCGGCUUCUGUGGUGGAUUGGGAAACUGAGGAUUGCUUGCGAGGGGACCAAGACACAAGAGAAGUCCCAAGAAACUGGCAAGUCCCCGACGUGGACUUGCGCUCAACACGGCAGCCGGCAUAAUCCGCAUCAGAAUAGCCGCAAAGAGAAAGAGAGGAGGAAGCUGAAAACCAAAGACCAAACUCAGGUGUGAAACGAAGGUACCUCAAGAUCCGCUUGACGGCCUGACGAUGAGAUGUGCGCGGCGAAGACUGAAAGCGCGCACACAAGCAGACCGCGAACUGGAUGUCCGGUCUUGUCGCCGUCAGGUACAGCGGUGACCCGAUCAUGCUUCGAUACUCCUUCUGGUCCACAGCUUCUCCUUCUUCAUCUGCAUCCAGGGCCAUCGUGGUUGACAUGGGCGUCGAGAGAGGCUUGGCCUCGCCCAUAUCAAAUUUCUUGAGUACAUCCUUGGUGUACUUGCCUUGGUGCACAAACGUCCCUUCUCUAGUUUGCUUGAUUUGCAAACCAAGAAAGAACGUCAACUCGCCCAUCAUGCUCAUCUCAAAUUCCCUGCUCAUAGUUUCUGCAAACUUGCCAACAAGUGCAUGAGAAGAGCCACCGAAAAUGAUAUCAUCCACGUAUAUCUGAACCAAAAGAGUAUCAUUGCCUUGCUUGAGGAGAAAUAAAGUUUUAUCAACAGAACCCAUUUUAAAACCCUUUGCAAGCAAGAAGGCUUUCAAACGCUCAUACCAGGCUCUCGGGGCUUGUUUUAGACCAUACAAGGCUUUGUGGAGUUUAAAAACAUGGUUAGGAUACUUAGGAUUUUCAAAGCCAGGGGGUUGUCUCACAUAGACCUUUUCCUCUAUAUAUCCAUUCAAGAAAGCACUCUUCACAUCCAUCUGAUACAGCUUGAACCCUUUUGAAGCUGCAAAAGCUAAAAGGAUCCUAAUGGCUUCUAGACGGGCAACAGGGGCAAAGGUUUCCUCAUAGUCUAUCCCCUCUUUUUGACAAAAACCCUGAGCUACCAACCUAGCCUUGUUCCUCACUACCACCCCAUCUUCACUCUGUUUGUUUUUGAAAACCCACUUGGUACCUAUGGGAUGGCAAUCUGGUGGAAGUGGUACUAAAACCCAAACCUUGUUUCUCUCAAAAUUUUCUAGCUCAUCAUGCAUAGCAUUAACCCAAUCGGAAUUAGAUAGUGCGUGUCCAACAUCUCGAGGCUCAAAAGAAGCAACAAAAGCAGAAUGAGCGAAGUGUGAGAUGUGAUAUGACCUGGACCGCGUGACUCGCUGGUCAAUUCCACCAAUCAUGGUCUGAGUUGGAUGGCGACGCUGAAUGUGUCGAGGUGCUUCCCUUGAAGAAGUCGCCUCCCCCUCAACUGCAGCUGGGGCCUCCACAGGGACAGCCGGUGUAGGCUGAGGAGGCUGCUCGACCGGACCCCAAGUAGUGGAAGAAGAAGGAUCGGGGCCGUCAGCCGAAGUAGUCGUCGAAGACGCGAGAGGGGCAGCUAGUGGUGUCGGCUCGGGAUCACCCCAAUCGGCAUCUUCUGCAUCAUCCUCAACAAAGAUACUCUCACCAAUCUCCUGAUCACCUGCACAUUCAAAGACAGGAGAAGAACAAGGCAUAGUCUCAUCGAAUGUGACCUGACAGGUCUCCACGACUCGGUUAGUUUCAAGGUUAAGUACACGAUAUGCAUGAGAAUGAGAAGCAUAACCAAGAAAAAUACCGUCAGAGGACCUGGACUCAAAUUUGUCCAAAUUACCUUGCUUCAGGAUGAAACACUUGCAACCAAACACCCUGAAGUGACUUACCUUGGGUAGUCUACCAAAUCGCAACUCAUAAGAAGUCUUUUUCAAGAAGGCUCGAAGAAAAAUGCGAUUUGAGACAUGACAGGCGGUGUUGAUCGCAUCGGCCCAAUAUCUCCCAGGAGUCCUAUGCUCAUCGAGCAUCGUCCUGGCCAUCUCAACAAGGGUCCGAUUUUUGCGCUCAACAACACCAUUUUGCUGGGGAACAUAAGGAGAGGAAAACUAGUGCUCGAGACCCAAAGAAGCACAGAAAGUAUCAAACUGAGUGUUUUUGAAUUCUGUGCCAUUGUCACUGCGUAUAGCUCUCAUGGCAUUCUUAGGCAACUCAGUCUGUAACCGAAGAAUCAAAUCUCGAACGUGAGAAAAAGCCUCAUCCUUACCCUCCAGGUAAAACACCCAAGAGUAGCGAGAAAAGUCAUCCACAAACACUAGAACAUACCACUUCCCUCCCUCUGACCGAACCCGAGCCGGACCAACUGUGUCCAUAUGAAGUAGCUCACCGGGUCCCUUGGUCAUGACCUGAGUCACAGGAGGGUGAGAAGCGGCAACCAUCUUCCCAUGACGACAAGGGUGACAAACCAAAUCCUUCUCAAAUUUCAAUUUGGGCAAUCCUCGGAUUAAGUCAAGUGAGCUCAACCUAGCUAGUAAGUCAAAGCUCAAAUGACCAAGUCUCCUAUGCCACUUCCGAAGAUCAGAAGAGGAUCCGGCCACAAGACAACAAGAAGAGCCAAAAGAGUGAGAAAAAUCAGCUCGAAAGACACGGCCAAAAGGGACAAUCUGGCAAACAAGAUUUCCCUGAGAAUCAAGAACAUGAGACAAGCCAGUCUUAAAGCGCACCUCAAAACCAUCCUGAAGGAGUUGCGAAACCGAAAGCAAAUUGAAAUGCAAAUUCGAAACCAAAGCAACAUCCUUCAAGACAAAACUCUCAUUGACCCGAAUGGUCCCACGAGAAAGCACUUUACCUUUGCUAUUAUCCCCGAAUGUGAUGUACUCCUUACAUUGCACGGGGUCGAGGCUGGAGAACCAUUUUGAACUUCCGGUCAUGUGGCGCGAACAACCGGAAUCAACAAGCCACAUGUUCUCCAGGCCUCCGAUCUGCAUCAAUAGAAAGACAUGGGGUGAGCAAAUGGCGCAACACUAGGGUUAGUAAACUGUGAAGGAUACCAGUGUUGGGUCAUUUGCCCUGGAAAAGGGUUAGGAAAAACACCAAGCAUGCCAUGUCCCAUUUGAGGAAAGCGAUCACCACGGAAGGGAAAAUGUGGUCCGCUAGAGCUGUGGGACUGAGAAGCAAAGCCACCGCCACGAGGUUCAAAGUCAUAUUGAUCAUGACCUGAACUACGUCGGGCACGACCACCACGUGGUCUCGCAAGCUGAGGCCUAGCACCUUGAGGCAUUGCACCUCUAGGCCUAGCACUGCGCCUCUGAACAGGCGGCACAUGUACGCCAUGGGGUGGGCGGUACAUGUUCUGGUUGUUCAACUCGUACUCUCGCCGCUCAUCUCUCUUCCUCCUAAAGCAAAACUCAACAAGGUGACCAUCCCUAUGGCAAUACUCACAGUGAUACCUUACCUCUCUCUUGGGUGGUUGUUGGUUCACUCUCUUGUGGGUAUGGUUCACUCUUGGUGGCUUUUUGGCUUUAGGAAGGGGAUCCUCAAAGAUGUUUGGUAGAGUGUCAAGUGGAUUCCUGAGAUGGUUAGGUUUUGUAAUCCACACUUGUUUCUGAGGUGGGACUUUUGGAGGUUCUUCAAACACUCCAUCUUUGACAAUGGGUUUGGAAGGCUCAGGUGGAGUGAAUUUGAUCAACUUGGGAGUAGUGGAUGGUUUCUCACUAGGGCUCAAACCACUAAACUCACCAACCUUGCCAUAAAGAUUUUCACCCUUCCCACCUAUAGCAAAGCCUACACCCGAUGUGCAAGUUCCCCGCCUGAACUGGCUCAUCAUCAUGCCCAAUUGUGGCUCACUGCUAGACACCCAGCUCAAGAUGGACCGAAGGUAUGUGUUGUCUUCCUCGGAUCUCAUCUUAUCGUGCCUGCAAGACUCAAGCUCUAGCACCAAGCUCUCACAACGUGCACACUUAGCAGCGGCGCUAUCUAAACUGGCCUUCUCAAGAUCACAGAUCUUGGCAUUCUUCUCUGCCAGCUCAGAUUGCAAGCCCGAGCAGGACUUGCACGCACCCAACAAGACAAGCCUAGCCUUCAGCUCACCAUACUCAUCAAGCAAAGUAGCAUACUUAGAUUGCAAUUCAGAGAAGUUAGACAUAUGAACAGCACACUCAUCACACUCUACUUCAUCUGACACAACCACAACACACUCCUUAGCAACCUCAAGCUCCUUAAGCGCCAACUCUAGCUUGUCCUUAAACUCUUUCCUCUCACGGGCAGCACGCUUAAGCAAUUUAUCUUAACUAAUCAAGGUGAUAUUCAUGCUGUCAAGCUCAGCGACAAGGUCAUCGACGGAAGGAGGUACCUCGGAGGUGUCGUCGUCGAAGGAGACCUCAUCCUUGCUGGCCUUCACCUCUUCAUCAAUGGCCAUGGUGCAGAAGCCUCCGUGAGUGGAGUCGGUGACAAAGCAAAGACCGGUCAGCUUCUCCUCCAUCUUCCUCUCGGACUCAUCGUCACUCGAGGGAGAAGAGGAGUGGUCAUCGCCGGAGUCGUUGUCGAGGUCGCUGAGGGAAGCAAGGAAGGCACGCUCUUGCGCCUUGGCUUUCUUGCGGUACAUCUUCUUGAGCGCCUCCUUGUCGAAGCCCCUCUUUGACUUGUGCUUCUUGGAGGUGUAGUCGUUCUUGUCCUUGCGCUUGCCAGAGUCGUACUUGUCGGAGGAGUGCUUGUUCUUCUUGGGGCAGUGGGCGACGAAGUGGUCGAGAUCUCCACAGUUGUAGCAGCCCACCUUUUGAUCACCGCCCCGGCGGCGGUUCAAGCGGUUGUUGUGGAACCGCGAGAACCGGCUAAUGAUCAACGCCAACUCGUCAUCCCCAAGAGUCUCCAACUGCUCCUCUGAAACAGACACCAAAGACGACAAGGCAAACGACAUCUGUGAAGGGUUAGCUGAAGAACUUGAACUGUUACCUGAGACUAAAGCCAUAGUCGGUGCAGAAGGAUUCUUGAGCUUGGCUUGAGUCUGGUAGUCGAUCUCGGUAGACUUGAGCUUGCUGAACAGCUCGUCCACAGUGAUGGUGUCGUAGUUCGAAGACUCGAUAAUGGCGGACACCUUCACAUCUCAUACCUUCCGAUCUAGGGCAUAUAGAAGCUUGAGAGCCCUCUCAUGAUCGUCAUAAGGUAGCUGUGCCUUGUUUGCUCGCAUCUUGUUAGCUAAAAACGAGAAAACAUGGCAUCGAUGGACUCGCCAUCAAGCUGAGUGAAGUUCUCGUAAUCUCUCUUGUACGUCUCAUAGAGUCUGGUUUUGACAUGGGCUGUACCCUCGUGAUAGCUCUGAAUGCUCACCCAAAUCUCUCGAGCAGUACCACAAUCAGAGACGCUCGAACUCAGGAAGCGAAAGACUCGAGAAAAGAACAGAUCUUGCUCUGCUAUUUGCGUUGUGCCGAUCUUUUUGAGCUUGCGUGGUUCGAGCACGGGGUUCAAGCACAACGAAAGUAGCAUCCUCGCAAAUUUCCCAAACUAGCCAAUCAAUCCCCUGGAGAUAGGCAGACAUGCAUAUUUUCCAAUAGGGAUAAUUUGUUCCAUCGAAGAACGGUGGUUUACCGGAACCACGCUCCAUGUCGCCUUCGUGGAUCACGGACCGAUUAAGGUGGAAUGAUCCUUAACCGGCUCUGAUAGCAAUUGAAGGACCGAAAAACGGCGACCAUAGGGGGGGUGAAUGGGAGCCUCAAAUUUUUCUCAAAAUAUUUUCGGCCGCUGUCCCAAAAUCACCGCCAAACGCAAACACGAUCCAAAACUAAAAUACUCAAGCCAACUAUAGUGACGAGAGUAUCUAGAAACAUUCUUUGGAACGGUAGGAAGCUAAAGCAACAAACGAAACAUGAAUCGGAGCUCAAACGACCAAAUUAUGAGGGAAAAAAGAAAUCAUGGCUGGGAAAGAUUUGACAGAAAAUCCCCAAAAAGAAAAGGAUCAUCACAUAACAGAGAAAUAGCACAGAGACCUAGUGCUCUGGAAGCAGUACGACUGCACAGCUAGGUGUUCAUAACAGUGAAGCUUAGAAAAUAGACACAAAAAGAUGAGCAGCUGCACUUGCUUAGCCAGGAACUGCACUGGACUAAGUCUGCUAGCACCAUUCACAUGGAACAAAUAAAAUUCACAACAGAAACCAACAAACCUCCAAUCUCUUGCUGCCUGUGCUCAACGUGAAAUUAAGUGAGUAAGCAAUAAUUACUUCCUGUAGCUGAAAGUGACAAAACAGGAGAUGGAAAACCAAUUCAGGAACAAGCUAAGCAAUUGCUGCUGCUGCUCUUUGUGCUCUGCGGGCACAAACUCCUGCUGCUAGGCCUGCUGAAACUAACGCACUGCUAGCUCUGAAGACAAUCGAUGCAGCUUCAACUGAUUGGAGGCAGGCAACAAAUCGACGAACACAAAGAUAGAAAUCAAGCAAGCAAGAACUGAAUAUAGCUCACGAACGAGAAACAGAGGCGCGAGUCUGCUCACACCUGCAGAGAAGGGGAAUAAUCGUGAUCCAAAAACAUACAGGAAAACUGUUGCCAGUGGGAGAUCGGCAGGGACUGCGCACGCCUUUCACCUGAACCUAUCGAUGGUGACCGGUAUCCAGACCGGUGGCCUCCCAGGAGGCUUGAUGCACCACGCACAGCUUAAGCAAGCAGCACCCCAGCAGAUGAUGACGAACAAGCAGAAAUGUUGCUAGACAAAAAUAGUGACAAGAGAAGGACAAGCCUAGACAAAAAUUGUGACCUGAAAGAUGCUGCUGGUCUGCACGCAGCACACACUCAAGCACCAGCCAAUGAAUUCCUACAGGAGCGACACAAGAACACAAGAACGGGAACUGCAGUUCACGAACAGAGAAAAGAAAACGCCCACAAAAAUGAAAAGAUCUCUGUGAGAAAAAGAGCUCUUGAGCUCAGAUUUUGCACAGAUACAAUUCAACAUAGCACGAACCUAUUCCCCAAAAAUCAUGGCUUGGGAUGAUCCUAAACUCCAGGAAAUCAAGAUCGAACACAUGAACGAGAAAGGGGCAAAAACACAAGAUGACAGUGAACGAAAAAUCACAGAGAUAAAAUUGAAAUCCCGGAGGACAAGUGGAGGAUUUGGGCCUCCAUUCCCACUUCAAAUCACAGCAAAUACAUCACCGAUUUUUCAGUUCAUAAAAUCUCUAGAAAUAAGAAAACCUAACCCUAGGCCUUGUUUAGUUCCGGAGAGCGAAAAGUUUUCGGUACUGUAGCACUUUCGUUUGUUUGUGACAAAUAUUAUCCAAUCAUAAACUAACUAGGAUCAAAAGAUUCGUCUCGUGAUUUACAGCUAAACUGUAUAAUUAGUUUUUGUUUUUAUCUAUAUUUAAUGUUUCAUGCAUGUGCCAAAAGAUUCGAUGUGACGGAGAAUCUUGAAAACUUUUUGGUUUUCAGGGUGAACUAAACAAGACCCUAGAGAGAGAGAGCUACGGGAGGGAGCAAGGCUACAGAAAGAGGGAGAGGGUACCGAGAGAGAGGUGGAGAGAGCGUUAGGGAGAUGGGGAACUCCCCCGGUUUAUUUAUCAGGCAUAUUACAUAUUCUUCAAAUGUCCCUAGAUAUUUUUGAGGGAACUAGCUAGCCCCAGGGACAUUCUAGUCCAACUCGAUAUGACCUAAAUCCGACGGCCACCGCGCUUCCUCACCGGUAGCCUCGCUCCGAAGCGAUCUCACCGAUGCCACCACGUGCCAUCCGUCCGCAUCGGGACCUCCGCCCGGGUUUUGAGGCCCAAACCCGUGAAACCCGCUGCGAGUAGCGUACUCCAUACGCUUCCCCGCCACUCGACACGUGUCACCGCCGUCCUUGACUGGCCGGCCCGCUAAGUCCUCCUGAGCCUCGCUCGACUCGCGUCCGCCGUCUUGACUUGGUCAACACGGUCACUCCCAUGUACACUUGCACUUGUCGAUGUCCCAGAUGUCAGCCACUACGGCUGGUCACCCGGCCUCCUGGUCCGUCAGUCCAAGCCUCACGUCCGUCCUUCACCGCUCCAGGUCCAUCAGCACGACAUGUCUCUACUUGACCUUCACCUCACCGUCGACCACCGCCUCCGAGCUCCACAGCUGAACACCACAAGCCAAGAGACAUGUCGCACACAUAGCUUUCGCCAUGGUAAUGUUAGUCACCAACUCAACCUAUUCGUGGAUCACGUUGACAAUCACUCAUCACAAAACGUACCACAAGGGUACUUCUCGACCUUGUGUUUGCACCCCUCCAAACAACAGGGAGAGAAACCCCAGAACCCAGAGAACCAGCAGAACCAACAGAACCAGCAGAACCAGCCAAACAACCCCUAUGGCUCAGCUGAAAUGGAUAAGUGCAAGUACUGUUUCAAGCGAGGCCACUACAAGAGGGAUUGUCUAGACUUCCUGAAGUCUCUGAUGAAAAGAGGUGAGGAAAUUAUUACUUUUGUAGAUGAAUCCCUGUAUUUAUGUAUAUGCAAAAUCCACUUGGUGGGUUGAUUCAGGAGCAACUACUCAUGUUGCAAAUUCUUUAUAGGGAUUAAGUGGGACGAGAACCUUGCAAAGAGGAGAAAGAACAAUUAAAGUUGCAAAUGGAGUGCAAGCCAAUGUUGAAGCCAUUGGAUAUUUAUUUUUAGAGUUGCAUAAUGGUUUUGUACUUAAACUUAAAGAAGUACUUUAUGUUCCCUCUUUGCGUCGAAAUUUAAUAAGUGUCUCGAAACUUGAUGAUGAUCGAAUUGAUUGCCAUUUUGGUGAUGGCAAAUGUAAGAUACUUGUUAAUGAUGAAUGUGUUGGUCUUGCCUUCCGACAAGACAAACUUUAUUUAUUAUCUCUUGCUGAUAAUGUGAAUGAUGUAUGUGAUGAGAAUAUGAAUGAUUCCCCGUCUACAAAUGUAAACAAGAAGCGGAAGAGAGCUGAAAAUACCUCUUCGAAAUUAUGGCAUUGUCGCUUAGGCCAUAUUUCGAGGGGGAGAAUAUAAUGAUUAGUAAAAGAAUCAAUUCUUCCGCAUUUAGAAUUUUCUGAUUUAGAACAAUGUGUUGAUUGCAUUAAAGGAAAGUAUGUCAAGAAAGUUAAGAAAGACGCCAAACGAAGUAUAGGAACUUUAGAAAUAAUCCACAUCGACAUAUGUGGACCUUUUCCUGUGUAAAGCGUGGAUGGUUUUGAUUCAUUCAUAACUUUCACAGACGAUUACUCUCGUUUUGGCUACAUUUAUCCAAUUAAAGAAAGAUCAGAAGCAUUGGAUAAAUUCAAAAUAUUUAAAGCAGAAGUUGAAAAUCAACGCAACAAGAAAAUUAAGAUAGUACGAUCCGACCGAGGUGGAGAGUACUAUGGGCGACAUACCCCUUAUGGCCAAGUUCUUGGACCUUUUGCAAGGUUCCUACAGGAAAAUGGCAUAGUCGCUCAGUACUCCACACCGGGUGAGCCUCAGCAGAAUGGAGUGGCUGAAAGACGUAACCGUACCUUAAUGGAUAUGGUGAGAAGUAUGAUAAGUUACUCCACACUACCGAUUAGUUUAUGGAUGGAGGCAUUGAAAACCGCCAUUUAUAUACUUAAUCGAGUACCAAGUAAAUUGGUGCCUAAAACACCAUAUGAAUUGUGGAUAGGAAAAGAACCCUCACUUAACCAUUUGCGUGUGUGGGGCUGUCCAGCUGAGGCAAAAGUGUUUAACCCAAACAUAGGAAAACUAGAUCCCAAGACAGUCAGCUGCCAUUUUAUUGGCUAUCCAGAAAGAUCAAAAGGAUAUCGCUUCUAUUGUCCUGACAGACAUACGAAGAUUGUAGAAACCAGACACGCUGUCUUCUUGGAGGAUGACAUGAUCAGGGGGAGCAAGGUAGCAAGAGAAAUCAGUCUAGUGGAGAAGCGGGUAUUCGUGCCCACUCCAAUAGAUGAAGAACCAUUUUUUACACUACUUGUUGCUACUGUUGCUGCACCGACAGUGCAAGCCACUGUUGUGCCAACACCUGUCGUUAGUUCUCCUAUGGCAACAAUAAAUGAACCUGAGGAACGUGUAAUUCAGGAACCUAUAGAACCAAUUGUCGUUCAUGCGGAAGAACAACCACAGCCCAUUGUGGAACAAGUGCUAGAGGCCCCUAGAAGGUCUCAAAGAAUAAGGUCACAUAUUUCUGAUGACUAUGAGGUUUAUGAAACAGAAGAAUUUCACAUGGGGAAUGAUCCCACCUCAUUUGAAGAAGCCAUGAGAAGCGAUCACUCAUCAAAGUGGCUUAAGGCCAUGGAAGAUGAAAUAAAAUCAAUGAGUACCAAUAAAGUUUGGGACUUAGAAGAAAUUCCUAAAGGAGCCAAAACAGUAGGCUGUAAAUGGGUCUACAAGACAAUAUGACUCCCAAGAGAAUGUUGAAAGAUUUAAAGCGUGACUCGUGGCGAAAGGCUUUACGCAAAGAGAAGGGAUUGAUUACAAUGAGACCUUUUCUCCAGUCUCAUGUAAAGAUUCCUUCAGAAUUAUAAUGGCACUUGUAGCCCACUAUGAUUUAGAAUUACAUCAAAUGGAUGUAAAGACGGCAUUCCUUAACGGGGAUUUGGAGGAAAAUGUUUAUAUGGCACAACCGAAAGGUUUUGUCGUAGAAGGAAAAGAAAAUAUGGGAUGCCACCUAAAGAAAUCAAUCUAUGGAUUGAAACAGGCUUCAAGACAGUGGUACUUGAAGUUUGAUGAAACGAUAAAACGAUUUGGGUUUAAAGAAAAUGUUGAGGACAACUGCGUCUAUGCAAAAUUUAAGAAUGGAAAGUAUAUAUUCUUGAUUUUGUAUGUGGACGAUAUUCUACUUGCUAGUAGUGAUAUGAACCUAUUGAUGGAAACAAAGAAAUUUUUGUCCUCAAAUUUUGAUAUGAAAGAUCUCGGUGAGGCCUCGUUCGUUUUGGGAAUAGAGAUUCACCGUGAUAGAAGAAAAGGGGUUCUAGGAUUAUCGCAAAAGGCAUACAUAGAAAAGGUUCUAAAAAAAUUAGUAUGCAUGCGUGCAGUCCCUCACCUGCUCCUAUAGUCAAGGGCGAUAGAUUUGGGGAACAUCAGUGUCCCAAGAAUGAAUAUGAAAUUAACCAAAUGAAAGCGGUACCGUAUGCUUCAGCAGUUGGAAGUUUACAAUAUGCUCAAGUGUGUACACGCCCUGACUUAGCUUAUGUUACCGGGUUACUUGGCAGAUAUUAAAAGAAUCCAAGAUUUGAACAUUGGAAAUUGGUAAAGAAAGUCAUGCGUUAUUUGUAGGGUACGAAAGGCCUCAUGUUGACAUAUAGAAGAUCUGAUUCCCUGCAGAUAGAGGGGUAUUCAGAUUCCGAUUAUGCGGGAGAUGAAAGAAAAUCCACGUCAGGAUAUAUACUUACUCUCGCUAGAGGAGCGAUAUCGUGGAAAAGCUCCAAACAAACUGUAAUUGCAUCCUCGACAAUGUAUGCCGAGUUUGUAGCAUGUUAUGAGGCAACAGGGCAGGUGAACUGGCUAAAGAAAUUUAUACCCGGAUUGAAAGUAAUUGAUAGCAUAAAUGAACCUAUGAGGUUGUAUUGUGAUAACAACCCAGCGAUAUAGUAUGCUCACAACAAUAGGUCAAGUGGUGCUGCCAAACAUAUUGACAUAAAUUACUAUGUUGUGAAAGAUAAAGUUCGGGAUCAUAUCAUAAAUCUUGAGCACAUAAGUACAGAAAGAAUGCUCGCGGAUCCACUCACAAAGGGCUUACCACCCAACGUGUUCAGAGAACACGUAGCCGGCAUGGGUUUAAGGGAAAGUUUAUGAGUCCCGAACAUACGAAGGGCCCAAGGAGAAUUCGUUCCAUACAGAAAGAUGUAUUGUAGCUGCUAGUCUAACGGCAUUAAUUGCUGUGACGAUGAAACAGUUCUAUGCACUAAUCUAUAAUAGAAUAGGAAAGAAACAAGAAAAAUAUGAAUUAAAGGUUUGAAUACGAAAAUAAAGAACGAAGAAAUAAUGAGAGAUCAAGGGGGAGAAUGUUAGCUGAUCUCCUUUCCAGAUGGGCCCAAAGGCCUUCUGGGCCUUGUUCUCGCGCCCUGAUCGGGGGCGCCCAACCCUACAUGGUUGGUGGGCCCUGUCGCACAGCGCUAUAAAGGAAGGUGGGGGGCUGGAGCUCGAGGUACGAGGUUGACCGCGAAGCCUUUUUCUCCACCGACAUCCUAAACCCUAAUCUGAUCCGAGAGGGGCGCUGCCAGCGACGGGAAGCACCACCGACGCCGACAACGCCACCCCAACGUCCGCGCCGCCACAAGGAACGUCUCCAACGGCAAAUCCGAUGGCUUCACUGGCGAACGACGCCACGGCGAACGGCAGCGGAUCUACGGCGGCUACGGCUCCAAGCGAUGGUCUAGUCUAUUUACCGUUUCUGUUCUAUAUCUACAGUAGGUCUUGUUUAGGGCAUAUGAUGUACACUUUUAUUCUUGAUUAAAUUGGAAGAAAUAUUCCCGAUCUAUGAACCGCGAUGCAUUACGAAUUUUAACAAGAUGCAUGCUUAAUAAGAUUCAAAGAAAGAUGAAAACAUGUGGCUUGCACAGAGCUUGGCAGUCCAAAUCUUGACUGCAAACUUAUGUUACUUUUGUUCCUAUUACCUAAAGAGAAGGAGAUAUAGAGCUAUAAAGAAAUCACAUUCGAGAACAGCAACUAGAUUAUGGUAUGUCUGGACAGUACUCGAUAGAUAAUGCUAGCACAGUUAACUAAACAGUCAUCAGUAGUUCAGUUUGGACAGGAACAAAAUAACUUUUUUAGAUAAUAACCAAACAAUGUUGUUGAAAGAAAUAGUCAGAGCAAAGUCCCUCUGGAAAUUGGCAUAGGUAGCUCACCAACACCUGCCAUCAAACGAUCUUGCAGCAUGUAACAUUAGUACAUUACUGCUGCUGAAGCAUGAAAGUACUGUCAAAGGUUCAGCCUACCUAGCACUCAUCAAGUACCCGCUUUUGAUUCUUAAGAGCAACACUAAAUGUCCCUAAUCAGCAUGCCCAAAAUAAGAAAAGUGGAAAACCCUCCGCGAAGAUUUACAAUUACAAAUUUCCAACAUCGAGGCUUGAAAUUGAAGCUUAGAUUUCGUCUAGUUAUAGACUUAUAGGUAUGGUGUGAACGAUUUAAUCAAAUUAGGUAGCAGAAAUGGGAAUACUCAGGACAACAGAGAAACCAACUCCGGUCGCUUAUCUUAUAAGCCGUAUUUUUUCUGCCAGCCAGCAAUGUUUUUCUCUACUUUUCAGACCAGCGAACAGCUAGCACGACCAAACAUAAAUACAUAUAGAUACUGAUAAAACACUAAAAAUUACAUGUGAAAACGAAACCAGUUGAUUGAUAGAUAAAAGGGAUCUCUAUAUGAAUAUAUGAAAAAACAAGUUGCAUAAAGAACAUAAUCAUACACACAAUACUUUUGUUUAUCUUAUUCAGUUUAGCAAGUAGCUCAUUCAACUGUAUUUAUAGACAUUUGACAACGGUCAUAAGUACUUGAAGGCCUAUAUGCCAGUGCACGUGUGUGUUGAAUUUUGAAGGCCUAUGUGCUCGAGCGUGCGGCGGGCGUCGGGGCAUGGGAGAGACCUACCUAGCCUAAGACGGACGGUUCGAUCAAGCUGGCCUAUUUGGAUUGUGGCCUCUAGGCUAAGCAUCAGGCCAGGCAGCCAUUCUGGCCCAAAUCGGACGCCCGGGAGCCGCCAGACAAGAUUCUCUAGGACCGAUCCAACUAAUAAAAAAACAAGGUGAUGAGGCGCAAUAAAGAACGGCAGCUUCGGAUUUUUUUAACCUUUUUGAAAAUAUUUUCAAAUUAACACCGUUACAUUUUUAUUUUUGAAUCUAACUCGUUUGGCCAUGCCUAAAUCCUUGGCGCAGCUAAAACACGCUGCCGCACCACAUACAUCAGCGUGGCACAAGACAUAUUUUAGUGGUUUUUCUGGCUUAAAAAACAAAAGCUGUUUUUGUGUGUGGUCAUUUGAUAAGGUUUUCAAUUAAACCUAUGGAGAAGCCACAACAAAAAUCCUGUGAAAGAUAAGUUGUCAUGCUUUAUUUCUCGUCCUUUCACUCCUUUUGACUAAUGAUUGCUGCUGUUAUGAAUUUCUGCCAUACAAAUCUGAAUGACAGUUACACAAGCUUGUUUUGUAAUAAAUCAUCAAUUCCUUGACCUAAAAAAAGUUGUCCACCAAUGAAUGGCUUCCCUAUUUAAUUUAGGAAGACUUAUUCUGUUUUUUUAACAUGCACUCCGUACUUAGAGACUGAUUGUGUAUUCAAGGUAAAGAUAUUUGGUACUUCAAAGUGAGAUAUAUGCCUCUGUCAUCUGCUAGUGAAAUUGUAAAUACCAUCCUAUAGAAGCUACCUUGAAUAGCAAAUAUCCUUUUACAAGAAAAUACUUGCAUAUUGCCACUCCAUAAGUCUAAUAAUCCUGCUGCAAAAUUAACCCUGUUCAUUAGUAGUUUUUUCUUGUGUAUUUGGUCCUAAUUUUGAUCUACUGACCAAACAUAUGUAUGAUUAUAUAAUUAAAAGUAACAAGCACUACUACAUAAGCAAUUUUUAGAGAUGUUUCCCUUUUAGUCUAGAGGCUCAUAUAAAAAAUGCCUCUAAAAUUGUUUUAUAAGUUGACCUGUCUCUAAAAUCAAAUUUUUAUAGGUGUCUAGGAAAUCCAACUGCCUCUAGAAUAUCCACUAUUUGUAGAAGUGGCUGGAAAGUCCAACCAUUACUAAAAAGGUCAUUUCUAGCAGCGCCUAAAUAUUCUACCUGUCUCUAUAAUGAAUUGAGAGGUGGUUGAUAAUUUGACCUAUCUCUAAAAAUAGGUUUAGCAUAGUAAAAUUCAUAAUCUUUUCAAAUCGAGUCAAAUGAAAACAAUCUAUAUAUAAAAUUUUGUAGAACUUUGUAGCAGACUACUUUUUUAUUUGAAAUCAUUUGAGGCCCAAAAGUUUUAAUUUAAGUUUUUCAAUUUUGAAAUUCAUUUUUUAGAAAGUUUUGAAAUGACUUGGGAUGGAGAAAUGAUCUAAACCAAUGUUGUAGUUCUUGAGGAGAUCUAAAACAUUUCAGUUCAAAACUUUUUAUGUGGUUUUGUUUAAGGUCUCAAAUAUCAUUACUAGACCAAGAAUUUUCCAAGAUAAGCAUAAGGUGUUAAUAGAGGUGGUCUGGGCACCCGUUUCUCUGAAAGUGCCUGUGUUAAUGGACUUUUAUUGAGGUGGAUGCAAUUGCCCACCUCUAAGAACAAAAAAAAAAAAUCUUGCCAAACCGUUCAGCUCGCUACCAGUUUAGGCCAGCAACAGCCCUUGCUAAAUCACACCGCCACACGAAGGCCGACCAUGCUGUCCUCAGGCCCGGUUUAGUCCCCAAAAAUUUUCUUUUUAUCCCAUCCUAUCAAAUCUUUAUACAUAUGUAUGGAGCAUUAAAUAGAGAUAAAAAAUAACUAAUUACAUAGUUUGUAUGUAUUUUGCUUGAUAAAUUUUUAAAGUCUAAUUAGUUUAUGAUUAAACACUAAUUCCCAAAUAAACUAAAAUGCUACAGUAGCCAAAUCUAAAAAAUUUCACGAACUAAAUAAGGUCUCACUCUCAAAGCCCCUCUGUACAGUGGAUCGGUAGCAAGGAACCAUAUGGAGCCUAGCGCGUGACCACGAAGCCCACAAAGUACUAGUCCCCUGUUUGCUUGACCUUAGCAAAUCAACGAACAAAUGGUUUUUCAUAUAAGCGAACAGUUGUCUAAGUUGGACGAUUGGAGCUGAGCAUGAGGUUCGUGAUAGAUAUAUUUUCGCUCACGCUGGCUCCUCUGGCCACCCAGUUGCUGAUGUGGUAUAGAGGAGGUAGGGUGAGGGUGAGCCGAAGUAGAGCAUGGAGGCAAGACAGGGGUGCUCACCUGGUUAGAUCUGCAUUGUUGUCAUCCGGCGUCCAACUCUUCGUGGUGGCGCGGCUAACUGGUUCCACGUGUGUGCGUCGGCGUGUCGCGAAAUUGCUAGAGCCAUUAGAGUGUGGCGCGUCUCCUCGCCUCCUUCUCUAACCGAGGAGGGCCGUAGGGAAAGGAAAAUUAGGAAAGAAAAAGGUCGACGUUGUCUUCUUAGGUUGUCUGAUCACUGUCUCUUUUCUCAUUAGUUUGCUGAUGUCUAACGGACUAUAAGAACUGGGGGUUUGUAUAUCAAGGUUUGGGCCCCGUUCUUAUCUAGGCCCUAACCCUAGGGCCAGCACUACGGUAAAUGAGGUAUUUUCCGAGGUGUUUUAAUGACCGCUUCGUUAAAUCGAAUAAUAAGAAAUAAAGAAAAUGAAAAACGCUAGGCAUGGCAGGUGGAAGAGCGGCCUCUAAAAAUCCAUUCUAAUCGUUUCUGGAAAAAAAACUUUUCUGUGAUUGCAAAGUCUCCUUACCAUUUUACAAACAAUAAACAUGGAGCACUUCAUCAUAAACCAAGAAUCGCCUCUAGAAAAAACAUUCUGUUGUUGCGAAGUCUCCUUACCAUUUUACAAACAAUAAACAUGGAGUAUACUUCAUCAUAAACCAAGAAGAUCCAAACAUACACAAAAUAACUUCUAAGUACAUAUCAUCAACUUAACUAGGGACGUGACAUUACAUACAUAUUAUUUCAAUACAAAACAAAACCGAGCUGACGGUGUAUAUGAAUCGACAUAUAUCUUACUGGCUACUAGCAACUAGUAGCACCCUGGAUUGUGGUAAAUACGAUUACAAUGACUAGUGUAGGAUUCACCCCGUGCGGCACAGCUGCCCCUUGGUGGGCACGCAGGCCUAUUUCGGAUGCUCGUGUAGUCGAUGUAGCCUCCGGCGCCCGCUGCCGGUGUUGCGACGACGAUAGCCGCAAUAAGGACGGCAAAGAGAAGAAUCGCCGGCACCGACGACGGCUUCGCCUCCAUAGGCUGCUUCCGGAUCACUUUGUGGGGAUUUAUUUCCGGAAUCAAGGGCGAGCGAGGCACGGUUCGCCGGUUCCUCUGCUUAGCUGAAGGUUGGAAUGAGAGGACGCAUGCUUUAAUAUGCACUGUGCGCCGUGGUGUUUCUGGCAAUGCCAGCCAUUUUCCUUUUGUUUCAUAGCAACCCGUGACUCCGGUACGUAUUGUCUGCUCUAUAUGUCUGCCCCUACCUGUCGGACACUGGUAUCUUCCGCGCCUCCCAUGGCAGCUUUUACCUACUGGAGCGUGUGACCUACCAUGCAACUAUGCAAGUCCAUGUGAGCAGAUGCUCAAGAAAUAAUUAUAUCGUUACGUUAUACGGAGUACAUAGUAGCGCAAAAUGUUUACCCCUUCGUACUUAUAUAUCUCCUAUAUCUCUUUUUUCUAGACAAGGUAGGAAAUUUAUAUUAAUUAAGAUUGGUAACGUCUACAUCCAAGAAUAUAGGAGGAGAACCAAGCCAAACAUGGCAGCUAGGACCAAGAGUACAAGCAUGCUUAGCAAGGUCUACCCUCAUGUGCAAAUAGCACAUAAUCAAAUGAUUUUGACCUCGUAUUUAUAUCCUAAACACUACGGGAGAAUUGAAAUUCCCCGAGUGUCGCAGGCUUCCCCGAGUGCCAAAAAUCGAGCACUCGGGGAAGCCAGUCUUCCCCGAGUGUUGCACUCGGGAAAGAGAGGCUUCCCCGAGUGUCGUAGCUUACCUGGCACUCGGGGAAGAACGACACUAAGAAAAGAUCCUCUUCCCCGAGCGCAACACUCGGGGAAGAGCCGCACUCGGGGGAGAAAAGUGUUACUUGACGGCCCAAACUAACAGCGUCGUCGCAGCUUAAAAUGAAAAAAGUUCUUCCUCGAGUGCCAAAAAAAACUCUCGGGGAAGACGCCCUUUUCCGAGUGCUAUUGCAUGACACUCGGGGAAAAUGCUGGCUUCCCCGAGCGCUGCGGGCCUGGCACUCGGGGAAGAAUUUUUCUUUUUUUAGUUUUUUUGCUCCAAUUUUUUUCUGAGGCUUUUCCACAUUAUUUCAAACUUCAUGUUCAAAUUUGGGGAUAUUUAAAUUUUUUUAAGUAUAUUUCAUUUGUUUUUUUCGUUUCAUUGAUUUUUUUUUUGCAAACUUCAAAUUUGAACUACAGGUGCAUUAAAUAAUGAAAUUUAUUUAUUCAAAAAAUGAUAUUCAAGAUAUUUAGUGUAUUUUAAGAUCAUAUCCACAAGCUCAAUGAAAUGUGAAACAUCUUAUUGCCCUAACAUUAGAAACAACUUGCGGAAAAAAUGUUUUUAAAUUAUAUAAAAUCCGUAAAAAGUCGAAAAAUCAAGAAACUUGUCUGAGCGUCAUUUUAUCGCAUGUAGAGGCUAUGAUAAAAAAUUGAGAAAGUUUGGAACAAGUUAUAAUAUCGGAUACCCUAAAAUCCACACAUCUCCGUAUGUGAUCACUUGUUAUUAUACGGGGAUAUGUCUAGGUUUUAGGCAUGGUACGUCACAACUUGCUCGAUUUUUUCUCAAAUUUUUACCACAGCCUCUACAUACGAUGACACGACACCUUAACAAAUUUCUUAAUUUUUGGACUCCAUUUGAAUUUUCUAUAAUUAAAAACCGCUUUUCUAACAAGUUGGUGGUCAUGUUUCCUGAAGAACAUGUUCAAAUUUUGAAGUGUGUCUUUGCACACGGCCUCAAAACAUAGUCAGAAACAUGAAUAUCAUUUUUCGAAUCACUAAAUUUUGAUAUUUUAUGCACCUGCAGUUCAAAAUUACUUUUUUGAGAAAAAUUUAAGUGAACAUAAAAAAUUUGAAAUAUAUACCAAAAAGUCAUAAAAAUUUUCCAAAUUGAAACAUAUUGUCUAUGAUAGUGUAUGAAACCGACAUAAAAAAUUUGGAUUGGAAAUAAAAAAUAUUUGCUGAGUGCCAGCCUUGGCACUAAGCAAGACACCUUUUUUUAUUUAAUUUUAUUUAAGAAUUAAAAAAAUACACAGCCGUGAACCCUAGUGGGCUGGCCAGCCCACCACGCACACAUACAUCUAGGGAUGAAAACGGUACGGAUAUUUUUCGACCGUAUUCGAGACCGAAUUCGUUUAGAAGGGUUCAGAUCUGUCCGUAUUCGAGUCCGAAUAUUCAACAUCCGAUACCGUAUCCGUAUCCGAAUACUUAAAUCGUAUAUUUAUGAUGUCGACAUCCAAUCAUAUCUUAUCCGACAUAAUUGACAUUAUCCGUAUUUGAAUCCGAAUUCGACCAGAAAUAUGAAAACAAAUAUGAUAUUGAUGAUAUCCGUCCGUUUUCAUCACGGCAUACAUCACACAGUGCUGACCGCACACACACAGCAUCGCACGCGCGCGCACACACACACACACGCAGCAGCGCCGCGCAGCUCCUCGCGAACACUCGCGCGCCCGCCGCCGGCUGCCUGCCGCACGCCGCCGCCCGCCCGCCGCCGCCGCGGCUUGCCCCCGCCCGUGCGCGGAUCUCGGCACUCGGACCGCGCAGCGCAGCCUUCGUCCUCCCAGUCGUGGGUCCCCGCCUCCCCUGCUCGCCCGCCCCCGCGGCCGUCCGUGGCUCUCCCCAGCUCGCCGGCCGCCGCCGGCCCGAAGGGAGCCUGGACGUCGCGCCUGCGCCCCCAUCACCCCCUCUCCGACGGCAGCGCCUGCGCAGAUCUAUGCGGGUCGUGCAGCGUCUGCUGCCCUCCUGUCCGCAACGGAGGCAGCACGGCAACAAUUGGCUCCACAAGCUGAGGAUCUCCUUUCUCUCCUCUUUUUAUUUGUUCAUUCUAAUAUUUGCUUAACUCAUGGAGUGAAUCACCCUUAAUUUCAUAAGACUAGAUCUAAUUCCUGACUUUUUCAAUAGCUACCAGUUCAUAGUUUUGGAGCUUCACUUUAUUUUCACAUGCUAGAUUGGUCUUGGCCUAGUUGCAAUAGAUGGUAUUUCUCUGCAAUAGUAUAAGGCUGCAAGCAGAAUGAUAUGCUGAAAUAGUUUGGUCUGUUUAACUAAAGAAGGCUCUAUUUUGCGGGACAGUACCGUAAUGCAGUUUUAUUUCAGAGUAGCAGAGUGUGCUUUUCUCCUGUCUUGCAAAGUCCUUUGAUAGAUACGAUUUUACAGUACUAUAAUGUAUAAGUUGCCAUUUGGUUAGACUACUCUAAAAGAUGCAGUUAGCCAUGUAAAAUGUCAGUUUCAUGCUGCAACAUCGAUAGUUUUCAGUAGCUGGUUUGCUACUAGGUUUUUAUUGAUCGUGUUACUCUUAUUUUAGGCCCUGUUUAGUCCCCCACCUAAAAAAUUUUAGGCCUUAGAAUUCAGACCGUAGCCCUUUUAUUUGAUCAACUCUUAACUUGGCACAUGUUUGUUCAUAACUGAUUGAUAUGAGUCUGAGAUUUAGUACAGAGCUAGUCUAUGAGUUCAGCUAUAUUUUUUGAUGCAAGUCUAUGUAUUUUGUUUGUCCUAUACCUCAAAGACCGUGUUUUCUUUAUCUUUUUUACCUCAACAGAUGAUGCCUCAUGUAGAGAGAACCAAAUGAUUGUUCAAGUGAAUACAGAUGAUGAACUAAAUGUAUGACACAGCUCUCAGGUGUCCGAUUUUGAGUUACCUGCUUUACUAGGUAAUUACCCAUUAGUAAAGAACACUGCAAGAAAGGAUCGGUUAACUUGCUUACUGAUUUGAGCUUGCUCACGUGCAAUCUCUCUUUUUCACCAUCAAUCGGGAGCGGCGUCGAACCAUGUCGAAGGGUUACCGGCAUCACACAUCGGGCCAUCCCUAUCUGGACCGUCGUCAGGAUCGCACGCUGGAGCGUCCCAACCCUCCCCGGCAUCGCAUAAUGGACCGUCGCCGUGAGCCGUCUUCGGAGUCAUUUUUAUGUAUUAAACUUGUGAAUUUGGAAUAAUGUGUACUUUUGAAUGUGUGGUUUGUAAUAUAUCGUGGAUUUUGUAUAAAUUUGUUCGUUUGUGAUAUAUAAAUGUAGUUUGUGAUAUAUUACUGUUGAAUUGUGGUUUGUGAUAUAUAUAUAUAUAUAUAUAUAUAUAUAUAUAUAUAUAUAUAUAUAGCUGGGCAUGACACUAUGAACGAAGAUAUGGACUCUUUUCUAUAUGAUCUGCCUAUUCAAUGAUGAUUGAAGCGUAGAACAGUAGAGAUGAUAACUUUGAANNNNNNNNNNNNNNNNNNNNNNNNNNNNNNNNNNNNNNNNNNNNNNNNNNNNNNNNNNNNNNNNNNNNNNNNNNNNNNNNNNNNNNNNNNNNNNNNNNNNNNNNNNNNNNNNNNNNNNNNNNNNNNNNNNNNNNNNNNNNNNNNNNNNNNNNNNNNNNNNNNNNNNNNNNNNNNNNNNNNNNNNNNNNNNNNNNNNNNNNNNNNNNNNNNNNNNNNNNNNNNNNNNNNNNNNNNNNNNNNNNNNNNNNNNNNNNNNNNNNNNNNNNNNNNNNNNNNNNNNNNNNNNNNNNNNNNNNNNNNNNNNNNNNNNNNNNNNNNNNNNNNNNNNNNNNNNNNNNNNNNNNNNNNNNNNNNNNNNNNNNNNNNNNNNNNNNNNNNNNNNNNNNNNNNNNNNNNNNNNNNNNNNNNNNNNNNNNNNNNNNNNNNNNNNNNNNNNNNNNNNNNNNNNNNNNNNNNNNNNNNNNNNNNNNNNNNNNNNNNNNNNNNNNNNNNNNNNNNNNNNNNNNNNNNNNNNNNNNNNNNNNNNNNNNNNNNNNNNNNNNNNNNNNNNNNNNNNNNNNACAGGGCCUUCCCCGAGUGCAUUUGACACUAGAGGAAGCCACUGCCUCCGUAGUGAAAAGAUCAUCAUAUAAGAGCAUCUAGUCAUUUCCUUAAUGUUCUUGAUGACACUUAGACAGUCUGAAGCUACCAUCAUUUUCUUUAUUCCACAGUCUUCAGCAAGGACUUGCCUCCACCCAUGCCAUAUUGCUUCUAAGGUUUCAGGUUCAGUGAUGUUCUAUUUCACCAAAACACUUACAACAAUGAGACAUCCUUGAUCAUCUCGACAAAUGACUCCAACAGUCCCUUUGUUACUACCCCGAGAAACAGCAGCAUCUGUAUUUAUUUUGCAUCGCCCAUUUCCAGGUGGUAUCCAGUGCCUAGCCUUUAACUUUGGUUGUUGCUUACAUUUUCCAUUCAUUUGAAAACUCUCACUAGUCUUGAAUAAUAAGGAUACGUAUCCCACCAGUUUUCGGGACAUUGCUACACAUAAAGAAAACCCAAUGCUUUGGGUCAGAAAUACAUAGAUUAGCAAUUAUCUUUGUUAUGUCCUCAUCUAGCUAAACCCAAGUACAUCUAGAUAAUGUACAGUGUAGCAAUGCAUGGUCCCAUGUGUCCUUGUCCGUGCCACAGAGUUUAUACUGAGGUGUAUCAACCAUGUUCCUACUUUUUAGCACACUUGCAGUGGGUAUUGAAUUUAAAACAAGACGCCAGCAGAAUAUUUUGAUCUUUGGCAGCAUUUUCAUAUUCCACAAUUGUUUCCAUUAUUCCUAAUUUUUCCAUAAUCAGAGCAGAUUGCCCUGCCUUCAAAGUUAUCAUCUCUACUUUUCUUUGCUUCAAUCAUCAUUCUAUAGGCAGAUCAUAUAGAAAAGAGACCAUUUCUUCGUUCAUAGUGUCAUGCCCAGCAAUCGUUUUGUAGGCUCAUACUCAAUGGAAUAUGGAGGAUAGCUUCACUGUCUAGAUGAUUGAAAAAGUGUUCCACUACCUCUUUUUUCCAUGUCAUGGAAGUAUGAUUAAUCAAUUCAGAAAAUAAUGUAGGAGGAUUUGGUUUUUUGAGUAAAAGGGCUUCAACAGUCUAGUUCUUGGAAUCCAAUUACAUUCCCAAAUAUUUGUGCUUUUACCAUCAUCAAUGCAUUUGAUCAAUCCUUGAUUCAAUACCUCUAUCCCAUCACAUAUAGCCAAGGUUUUCUUUUCGGUAGGAAAAAAAUUCGGCACCUACCAAUAAACAAGAUAUUUCAGAAAUUUCGGAUGAAUUUAAAUAAAUUCAAGUUGUUUUUUAAUUUGGUGCCAUUUCACUAGAAAAACUUUCUAAUCUAUCACUCGUCAUAAAUUUAUAUAGUAUCAACGAAAUAACACAAUAUAUCAUUGUGAUAAUACAGCGGGCUGACAGUGGGCGAGCUGCAUAUGCUAGUGUCAUGGAAUGUGUGGGUGAGAAAAUUAAAUAAAUUUGAAAAAAUUUAGGACUUUGAUAAGACUAGGAGAUAUGAUGAGUCAUUUUAGUUUAGUUUGGAGUAAUUUUGGAGCGAAAGAUGAAUUUAACCGAAAAAUUGAUUGAUAUAAAUUGUUUUUCGGACCUCAGUGGAAAUUUCAAUGAAAUUUCGCCAAAAAAGAAAACCCUGCAUAUUGCACUCCAGGCUUCGACGGGUUAAUGCCGAUAGGAGAUCAGUAGAGGGGAAGUAAAUUGAUUUGAGGACUUUAAAACAUAAAGAUUUUGCUCUGAUCAGCAUACGCCAUGCUUGUCUUGCAACCAAUGCAAGAUUAAAAAUAUUCUGUCUCUAAAACCUAAGCCGCACGUGUACUUGUCCUGACAGAUCAGUAGGUAACCCCAAAUAUUUUUUCAUUCGGCGAUUCAUUCUCCACCUGAAUAAUAGAUUUAACAUUAUCCCAAAUAGUAGGUUUGCAUCGUUUGCUAGAAAAGAUAGAUGAUUUUGUCAAGUUUACUUUUUGACCCGAAGCUUCACAAUAUUUUAUGUGCGACUUUCACACGACAUGUGCAUUACUUGCAUCUGCUUUGAAGAAUAAAAGACCGCCAUGAGCAAACAAUAGAUGGUUGACCUUUGGACAGAGCAUGAUAUCCGAACACCAUCGAUAUGGCAAUCUGCUUGUAACACUCUAAAAUUUGUUCCUUUUGAAAUAGAGUUUUAAAAAAAUUAAUUAUGUAUUUUUGUGUUCAUGAAAAUGUAGGAAAAAUAAUAUUUUUUUAUUAAAUUAAAAUUUAUCAUAGGACUUAGCAACAUUGUUGUGCAUACAUACUGGUGCAUAAGAUUUGAUGUAAUGUUUGCUUGUUGCUCCUUUGUGUGUGUAGAGUGAGCAAAGUUUUUCUUUUAAAUUUGCGUUGAGAAGAAUGAUCUUCCUUGAUCGGUACGUCUUUCUCUUUAUCUACAACCAAAUUUUUUUAUUUUUCAGCUCAAGUUUUUAUUAAGAGCUUCCUAAAAUCUUUUCUUUAUCACUCAAAUCACUUCUUUUAGAUCCUAGUCUAUCAAGCAAUCUCUAUAAACUUAUCGGAGAUUUUUCUAGCUUUUUCUAGAGCUUGUUCUCACUUUUUUAUGAGCAUAAUCUAAUUUUUAGAUGCUCCAUAUUAUCUUAUCAGGCGCUCCAAAUAUUUUAUUUGGAUUCCUCAUAUUCCAUAUUGUCUAUGAGAAUUUACACCAAAUUUUUGGAGCUUUCGGAAUAUUUUUCAUGGCCUAAAUAAUAAUUCUGGACUUUUCUAGAAUUAUUUUAUCCAUAAAAUAAUUAAUUCCGAAAAUAAUAAAUCUCUUACGUCAAAGCCCAUUUGGAAUAAUCAUAAUAAAUCCCAUUUGGAAUAAACCUUGGUAUUAUCAUCGAUAUUAUAUCUCUACCCUUGCUAUUCCACUCUACCUUGUUGCUUAUUUUAAAAAUAUUUGUUCUCAUCUUUACUCCUUGAUUUGGUAUGCUUUUAGAAACUUCUCUUACCUCUUCUUGUGUCUUCGAAACAGAAGUUUUAGGAUCCCAACCCUUAAGACGAAGAGAACAAUAGUAUCGCAAGUUGACUUGUUUGACGUAUGACACUCUAAUGCUUAAUUUGUUUGUCAUUAUGAUUAUGCUUGAUUUAGAAUCUUUGUAGUGAGUGCAGUGAUCUUGUGGGAUUUCUCCACAAUUUCAUUUAGUGUAUAGGUCUAAGGUAUAAGGAUUAAUGACAUAAAUAAUUGGGUUUUAGUUUUUCUCUUGUUAUCUUAUCCUGCUUUUUCGGAGUAUCCUCUCUUUAUCAGAUUAUAUCUCUGUUCUCGAAUGAACAAAAAUCAUAAGGAAAUUUUGGAUGACAGUGGAGUUCGAGAUCUUUCUCUGACCGCAAGAAUCACCCUCAUAGCUAUUAUGGUUUGGAAGUUACAAAAAUCACAAGAUGGUACAGUUGAGCUGUCAGGAAUCGGGACCAGUUUCAGUUUCCUACUGUUUUAGACAAAUGUAACUCCGAGAUUUGGAAAAAGGUUCUAUAAUAAAGUUGUAGGCCAUUUGAUAAGCUUUCCAACGAUGCAAACUACAGCUUUAUCAGAUUAAUAGGACUUGAGUUAUGACAUCUACAAGUUGAUGUUUCUGCACAGUUUCAAAAUCUAGACAGUUCUAGUUAGUUCCUAUUUUUUCAGCCACAUUAACUUCAGAAUCUGGGAAAGUUCUAUAUACAGAAGUUGUUGAGGACUUCUUAAGAUUUUCAGCCAUGUAAGACUCGUCCCCACAUGAUUUUUGUAGCUCGAGAUAUGACUGUUGCAAGUUGCCACAACUGUGCUGACAUAUUUUCUGGAUAGAUAAUGUUCUUGGCUGUUUUAUCCAAAGUUAAUGUCAGAGCCUGAGACAGUAUUCUAUACGAAAGUCAUAGAGGAUUUUGUCAGGUUCCCAACGGUGUAGGCCAUAAGUAUAUUAGACUGAUGGAGUAUGAGUUAUAGCUGCUUUACUAUGCUGCAUAUUUUUAUUUCAUGGGGAAUUUCAGAUUUCUUGUACGUGUCAGUGCACAUGAGUUUCUCUUGGGUAUUAGAAGAUCUUAUGAUAAGAUAACUCACUUGGAAGAUGGAACAAGCUACCCAUUUGUGCCCCCUAGUUUACUCUUCUUAAGGGGGGUAGCCAAGCUAAUGAAGUUACAAGAUGAAUGUUUCAUACAUUCUAGCACUUGACUUGGAAGUGUUGAUCAUUCCUAUGGUUGAGAAACCACUAUCAAGUAUUCUUGCUAAGAAAUUCUUAACAUGUUGGUUCCAUCUACAAGGAGAGUGCAUAUUAAUCAAGGUUUGAUCUUGAUUCAAAGUAUCAUCAAAUGGGAGUCCAAUCUUCAAUAUACCUAAGGCGUGAUGGCAUUGACGACAUAGGAAGUGGAUAUGGUACAUCUAAUGUUGAUGCUACAGAGACUCAAAAGACUUCAUUGCUAAACAAAGCAUGACAAGUAAGUUUUGGUUGAUGGAAGUUCUCACAUAGGAGAUGUCAUCCUUAUGGUGAACAUGAGAAAGUCAAGAGUGCAUUGAGUUUGGGACCCACCAAAGGAAGUGAACGAGACUUAGAGUUCCAUGGGAACGACAAGAUGCUAUGAUAUGUUUGUUGGAGGCAUUGUAAUCUUGACAUAAGAGUGACUAAGAGAUUGAUUUGGAAUAAUAAGAUUCUAUCAAUGGUUCAUUGAAGGUGUUAUAAAGAUUGACAAAUAGAGUUGUUCUAUCCCCUCAAGACUUUAGAUGUGCUCUAAACAAUAAAAGUUAGGGCUUAUGCAUAAGUCAACUAAGUGAGUUAGACCACCUGGCACAUGAUGUGGAGGUAUCCAUAGUGGAGCAUGGAGAUACUAUCUUCUUGGAUAUAAGAGUGAUAUCUAUGUAGAAUGUAAGAAUCUAAAGGGCAUCUUUAGGAAGUUGGAUUUGAGCUGGUCACAUCAUUGAUGAGUUUGAGUGAAUCAAGAGUUAUGACUAGGAAAAGUGCUAUCACUUGAAGGUGAAAAGGCCAUUGUAAAUGCCCAGAGCAUAAAGAGUGUGCUAGAGGAGUUUGAAUAACACUAAGGUUUGAGGAGUUGAGUGUCAAACUAGAGCGAUAACGCCAAGUGAGCCCUAUUAAUUACUCACUUAGGAACAAGAGGAACUGCAAAGAUUAAUCAAGGGUUAUGUUAGAAGACUCAAGAGCUAUGUGUAAGAGUGGAGCAACGUAACCUGAGUAUAGUUGUUAAUGUUAUGGAUUUGGCAUUAGGAGGGUCAGUACAGGAUGAGAAGCUGAAAGAGACAGUUAAGAAUAUAAUAUUUAGAAAGGGUUCAGGAGUUCAAAUGGAUGAAAAUGGUACACUAUGGUUGAAAAAAGGGUUAUGUGUGCCUGAGGAUAGGGCCAUAAGUGAGUCAAUUCUGGGUAAAGUCACAUGAAUCUGCUUAUUUCACCCUGGUAGUACCAGGAUGUAUCUUGACUUGAAAUAGAAAUAUUGGUGGUAUGGCCCUUAGAGAGAUGUUGCAGAGUAUGUUGCUUUAUGAGAUACAUGCCAGAGAGUUAAAGUAGAGCACCAGAGACUUGCCGGAUUAUUGCAACCGAUGAAAAUCUCCAAGUGGAAGUGGGAAGAAGUUGGUAUGGACUUCAUAGUGGGAUUGCCACGUACUUAGAGAGGUUGCGAUUCUGUAUGGGUGAGAGUAGAUCGGUUGCCUAAAGGCACUCAUCUUAUCCUGGUUAAGACUAAUUAUAAUGGACCAAAGUUGGUGGAAUUGUAUGUGGAAAAGAUAGAGUGUUUGCCUGAGGUCCCUAAAACGAAAAUUUCCGAUCAAGGUACUCAGUUUAUGCCUCACUUCUAGCAGUAAGUUCAAGGUACUCAGUUUAUGCGUCACAAGAAGCAACUGGAUCCAGGUGUGAUACGACAAAAUGCAUAGCUUAUAUGUAAUAGGAAAGGGAGGAUAGAUCAUCUAUGAUGAAUAUUGUAAUAAACCACUUGCCCCUUCUACUAGCACUCUUCUAAACCUUGCAUGCUACUUUACUUCCCCUCCUAACUCCGAUUCUGUUUCUUCCUUCCUUGAAUUCUAUUCGAGUUAUUAGAGAUCAUAACAUAUCUUCUAUCUCCUAUACCUAAAUACCUAAAUAGGAAAGCCUCAUUAGGAGAUUUUUCUGGCUUCUUAGCACCACGUCACUACAUCUGUCCUUCGUGCGAGCACUCAACAUGUCCAUCACGCCACAACCAAUAGUGGCUAUAAAUGCACACUGAUCAAGCAUCCCAAUGCCUGCCCGUCAGUCUCCCUCGCUCCAUCUGUCCAACUUUCCCAUGUACACCACCCAUGCUAACUAUUAAAUGGGCCCCAUCAACUCUUAGUGUCAUGUCGGUCCGUUGUUUUCUUCUUCGCAAUGGUGGCCGUGUUCCCCAUCACCUUCUGAACUCACACUCUAGCUGCAAACUCGCUGUCGCUUCUACCCUCUACUAUUGCUGCCCUAGCCCUCCUCCAUUGGGUCUGGCCUUCCACGCUGUUGUUGCAGCCCUCCCCAUUGCGGCCACUCACCACCAAGCGGAGCUCGACAAACACGACAUGCCCUCCUCGUGGCCACAACGCCAUGCGCAGGUGGCCCCGCGGUCUGCAAUUCUACAUCGAGAGUGGCAUUGUGCUACACUAGGUCCCUCUGUCCACUCCACCGUGAAGCAUCACCGCACGAUGCUGGAUCCCUAGCGCCAUGCGCAGGACUCGAGUAGUGGCAACCGUGAUCAGCAUGGAGCGUGGCCGCGCACCACGCUGGAUCACUCACUCCGCUUGAAAGAAUCUAUAGUACAGAAAUGUAUUUUACUUAGGUCUUUAGCUUUCGUAUGUGGUUGAGUCUACAAAGCUUACAACCCCCUGUAUGGAAUUCACAUAAAUCUUCUCCACGCAUGGUGUUCAGGAGUUCAGAGCCUACUACUGGGUGAUGUUUGGUUUGUUGUCAUUAUAUCUUAAUCAGAUUAGUAAUGAGUAGUUUAGAUUUCUAUGUAUUCUUCUAGCUUUCUUAAAGUUUUCGUGAGAGUAUUUAGAUGCUUUUCUCUUAUAUCACAUACAUCCUUUUUUUAUCAUGGAUAAACACUCUUAAUUAAUUAUUCUUUCUGUUAAUACAACAACCAUGUGUGACGUCGCUGCCACAUGUACUGAAUUUCCAAAAUUAGUUCUGUAAUUAAACUGGGAUGAAAUUUGUACAACUGUUUUUUUAAAUAGUGGACCAAUAAGAGGAUGCUAUUUUUUUCCUUCUAUUUCACAUCAUUAUUUGAAAUGUUCCCUCAAUACCACUUCUACUCCAUAUGUCAUCAUGGUGCUAUGUAUAGCACUAAAAAUUCCCGCAGCAACGAGCGGAGUAUCAUCUAGUAUAGAUAGAUAAUAUGAACACUAUAAAUGAUGCUCAUACUCAUACUCAUACUCAUACGGCAUCAGUUAAUGAUGAGUUGAAGGUGAUGUUUGUAUCGAUACAGACAUGCAUUCUGUCAAUUCUCACAUUUGAAAACCACUGAAAACAACUUCCACUAUCUUGUUUGGCUUUGUUAGGUGUAGAUCCAUCCCAGCAUCGAUAGCCUUCUGCAAAUUCUCCUGUGUCAUGCGCGGUCAAUGCGAAGAUCGGAGUGUAAAUUCCAUGGCGUUGUUCUUCAUCGCGGAUGAGUUUUGUCACUUCAUACUCAUAGAAAUCCAUAUUGGGCAUCUAAAAUCAAAGAAGAAAUAAUGUAAGUGUCAGGCAAUCAUCAAACAGAGCUUUGUGUUUGUGUGUGCGCGCACAUGCAAAGUUAACAAGUUUUGGUUGAACAAACCUGGCAAUCCAUGAAGAUGACAUGGUAGGGCAAGGGCACUAUCUCCUCUUCUGAAACUUUGGCCUGCUCAAGAGCUUCCUUGAUCAAGUUCACAGCCAUGGCUCCAUCUUGAGCUACUGUGACAAUUGCUCCAAGUUGGUGCAGGAUUUUCCUUUGGAUGUUUGCAGCACCAUAGUGUCUUCAGCUAGCAAGAUUCGUAUCCUGGCUAGCAGCUUAUCAUCAUCUUCAUGCUUUUGUUCCUGAGCCAAGCAUGAAGCUUCAGUUGAUGCAGAAGCUUGCACUACACAAGGAACAACAGCACCUGGCAAAUCUUGUUGUUGGCUGUUGUUCCCAAUGAUCUUAGGACCAACUUGAGAAGAAUGCACUUGUGCAUCUAAAACUUGGAGGUCUCUCUGGAUCAUAAGGAGUGAACAGGCGAGACCCAUGCAUCGGCUUUCACAGAACGAGAUCGCAGCCUAGCUCCUUGAACCUCCUCAGAUCACUGAAAGGGGUUUUGGUAUCCUCCAGCAGAACAACUUUGCACAGGGCCUGAUGCUUGAUCCUGGCAAGUUUGGCCAUCUCCUGGCAAGUUUCUUCUGGUCCAACACCGGACAUGUCGAUGACAACAAGGAUACCAGAAGGAAUCGUCCCAAGGCUGGCUCUCCGGGGAACAGUGUUGUUCCUCAACUGGCUCACCAUCUCCUUGGAGUUGAAGCACCAGUCGGAUCCACCACAGUUCACGGCAGAAGUAGGUGUGCUAUUGCUCUAUACCUUCUCCAAGGUGGAACCGAUGAACUCGGCUUGUGGGACUAGCAACACUUUGAGUCCAAUGCUCUCCAUCCAUGUCUGCAGGGUCCUCCUGGUUUCAUACCCAUGAACAUAGAGAACGCAGUGCACACCCUUAAAGUGCCUGAUGGAACUCAUGGUCCUUCUUCUAUGUCAUGAGGUUGUUGCACCUCCCUUAUCUUCAGGAGCACAUUGAACUUGAAGCAUGUUCCCCUUUCCCUGGGCCCUUUGUUUGUGAUGCUAAUCUCUUCUCCCAUCAGACGUACCUGUGAUCAAGUCAACGUAGACCAUCCACUUAAAACAAAAAAUUUACUUUAUAAAGAAAAUGAACAGGAGAUACAUAUAUGUAUAUAGUAUAUUGUAGUAGUAACUUACAAAGGAUUACACAAUUCCGAGCCCCAAGCCUGUACCGCCUUGGCCAUUGUUUACCUGAACAUAGCUUUCAAACACAGACAUCAUCUUCUCCUUGGGGAUCUCAAUGCCGGUGUCAACCACUUCAAAGUGAAACUCAACCAAAUUAGGGUCAUUUUGCACAUGACCUAAUCACCAGAAUCCUCCCUUGCUCUGAACAAGCAUCCCAAGGAACUGCCGCCACUGUGCCAUGGGUGCGCAAACCUUGACGGAGCACUGACAUUGCUCCUAGCGAUGGGUUGGGUCGCCCAGCCUUGGAGGACAACGUAGCCUUCAUCGGUGAACUUGAGCGUGUUGCUGAGCAGGUUGUCCAGGAUCUGCUUGAAGUGCUUGCUGUCCCCGAGGACGGCCGCACAUCUCACGACCGAGAACUCACAGGGGUCCCAGACCACCGCAACCCCUUGCCGGGACGCCCGCCACAUUGGCCAUGUUCACCGACUCCUGACAUCCGCCAUGCUGAACUCGCCUUCCUCCAGCUGCAUCUUCCCCGACAGCACCUUGCUUGUGUCUAGAAUUGAGUUCAGUAUAUCUGCAGAAAACAAAUCGAUCAUAUCAAUGGACAUAACCUAAUAGGUUUGAAUUAAUAUUGUUCUACAAAUAAUAUAUCUCCUAAAACAAAAUUGCUACGACGAUCAUAGCAUAACAUUUUUUUCUUUCAAAAAAAAUCCAUAGCAUAACAUUUUUUAAAGAACUGACAAGUUAACUACCGGUCUAUGUAUUGAUAGAGAAGAUGAUUUACGUUGAUCUUGAUCACAGGGUUCAAAUUUUGGUUUCAACUAGAUGAUCUACCUUGAUCUUGGUCACAGGUACGUCUGAUGGGAGGAGAGAUUAGCAUCAAGGACAAAGGGCCCGAGGAAAGGGGAACAUGCUUCGCGUUCAACAUGCUCCUGAAGAUAAGGGAGGUGCAACAACCUCAAGACAUAAAAGGACCAUCAGCUCCAUCAGGCACACAGAGCCGCUCCAAUUUCAUAGCCUCGGUGUUUGAAGAAGCCAACAACUUCAAGGGUGUGCACUGCGUUCUCUAUGUUCAUGGGUAUGAAACCAGGAUGAUCCUAUAGACAUGGAUGGAGAGCAUUGGACUCGAAGUCUUGGUGGUCCCACAAGCCGAGUUCAUUGGUUCCACAUUGGAGAAGGUACAGAGCAAUAGCACGACUACUGCUGCUGCCAAAUGCAGCAGAGCCAAGGAACAACUCUGCUCCUAGGAGAGCCAGCCCUGGGCGGAUUCCUUCUGGUAUCCUUAUUGUCAUAGACGUGUCCGGUGGUGGACCGCAAGAAAAUUGCCAGGAGAUGACCAAACUUGCCAGGAUCAAGCAUCAGGCCCCGUGCAAAGUUGUUCUGCUAGAGGAUAUCAAAACGCCUUUCAAUCAUCUAAGGAGGCUCAAGGAGCUAGGCUGUGAUCUCGUUCUACGAAAGCCGGUGCAUGGGUCUCGCUUGUUCACUCCUUAUGAUCCUGAGAGACCUCCAAGUUUUAGAUGCACAAGCACAGUCUUCUCAAGUUGGUCCUGAGAUCGCUGGGAACAACAGCCAGCAGCAAGAUUUGCUAGGUGCUGUUGUUCCUUGUGUAGUGCAAGCUGCUGCAUCAAAUGAACCUUCAUGCUUGGCUCAGGAACAGAAGCCUGAAGAUGAUGAUAAGCUGCUAGCCAGGAUGCGAAUCUUGCUGGCUGAAGACACUGUGGUGCUGCAAACAUCCAAAGGAAAAUCCUGAACCAGCUUGGAGCAACUGUCACAGUAGCUCAAGAUGGAGCCGUGGCUGUGAACUUGCUCAAGGAAGCUCUUGAGCAAGCCAAUGUUUGAGAAGAGGAAAUAGUGCCCUUGCCCUACCAUGUCAUCUUCAUGGAUUGCCAGGUUUGUUCAACCAAAACUUGUUGACUCUGCAUGUACACACACACGCACACAAACACAAAGCUUUGUCUCAUGAUUCCCUAACACUUACAUUAUUCCUUCUUUGAUUUUAGAUGCCUGAUAUGGAAUGGUACGCGCAACAGUGACGGUAUGCCAAAGCCCAACAUUCACCUCUCCGCCCUGCGACGCCUUCAUGGCACAACCUUGCGGCCGUCGCACCACCUCUGCACUGCUAUGCCGGUGAAAGAACCACGAACAACACGUUCGCCCACCUCUGCGCAGCACACUGGCACCGCACAGAUCUGGCCCCAGGGCUGCUGGAUCUGGCCUCCGUGGAAGGAAUCCAGCCACCGGGAAGGGAACCCACCCCGGGCAGUUGCUGCCACCAAGCCGGCAACGCCUGAACUGCAGCCGCGGCCAAAGAAGGGAAGACGCCGAAGCACCACACGGAUCCGGCCCAAGGACCACUGGAUCCAAACG